CCUGGCGGCUUUAGCGCGGUGGUCCCACCUGACCCCAUGCCGAACUCAGAAGUGAAACGCCGUAGCGCCGAUGGUAGUGUGGGGUCUCCCCAU
rnacentral:rRNA from 2 species